GACGAACGCUGGCGGCGUGCUUAAUACAUGCAAGUCAACGACUUUUAGAGUAGCAAUAUUCUAAAGGAAGUGGCGCACGGGUGAGUAACACGUAGGGUAAUCUGCCUUCAGGACUGACACAACUCGUCGAAAGACGGGCUAAUAUCAGAUAAUGCAGCGGCUCCGCAUGGAGACAGUUGUUAAAGUACAAGCGCCUGAAGAUGAGCCUGCGGUCCAUUAGCUAGUUGGUAGAGUAAAGCCUACCAAGGCAACGAUGGAUAGCUGGUCUGAGAGGAUGAUCAGCCACACUGGAACUGAGACACGGUCCAGACUCCUACGGGAGGCAGCAGUAAGGAAUAUUGCUCAAUGGCCGAAAGGCUGAAGCAGCAACGCCG
rnacentral:rRNA from 1 species